rnacentral:rRNA from 1 species
GAUGAACGCUGGCGGCGUGCCUAAUACAUGCAAGUCGAGCGAACAGACGAGGAGCUUGCUCCUCUGACGUUAGCGGCGGACGGGUGAGUAACACGUGGAUAACCUACCUAUAAGACUGGGAUAACUUCGGGAAACCGGAGCUAAUACCGGAUAAUAUAUUGAACCGCAUGGUUCAAUAGUGAAAGACGGUUUUGCUGCCACUUAUAGAUGGAUCCGCGCCGCAUUAGCUAGUUGGUAAGGUAACGGCUUACCAAGGCAACGAUGCGUAGCCGACCUGAGAGGGUGAUCGGCCACACUGGAACUGAGACACGGUCCAGACUCCUACGGGAGGCAGCAGUAGGGAAUCUUCCGCAAUGGGCGAAAGCCUGACGGAGCAACGCCGCGUGAGUGAUGAAGGUCCUCGGAUCGUAAAACUCUGUUAUUAGGGAAGAACAAAUGUGUAAGUAACUAUGCACGUCUUGACGGUACCUAAUCAGAAAGCCACGGCUAACUACGUG